CAGAGCGUAGCUUAAAGCUAAAGCAUCUCUUUUACACUGAGAAGAUGUCCAUGCAAACAGGACCGCACUGA
rnacentral:tRNA from 1 species